rnacentral:rRNA from 1 species
GGUCGGGGACAACAGUUGGAAACGACUGCUAAUACCGGAUGAGCCGAAUAGGUAAAAGAUUUAUCGCCUAGAGAGGGGCUCGCGUCUGAUUAGCUAGAUGGUGAGGUAAAGGCUUACCAUGGCGACGAUCAGUAGCUGGUCUGAGAGGAUGAGCAGCCACACUGGGACUGAGACACGGCCCAGACUCCUACGGGAGGCAGCAGUGGGGAAUUUUCCGCAAUGGGCGAAAGCCUGACGGAGCAAUACCGCGUGAGGGAGGAAGGCUCUUGGGUUGUAAACCUCAAAACUUAGGGAAGAAAAAAAUGACGGUACCUAAUGUAAGCAUCGGCUAACUCCGUGCCAGCAGCCGCGGUAAUACGGAGGAUGCAAGCGUUAUCCGGAAUCAUUGGGCGUAAAGAGUCCGUAGGUGGCACUUCAAGUCUGCUUUCAAAGACCGAAGCUCAACUUCGGAAAGGGAGUGGAAACUGAAGAGCUAGAGUAUAGUAGGGGUAGAGGGAAUUCCUAGUGUAGCGGUGAAAUGCGUAGAGAUUAGGAAGAACACCAGUGGCGAAGGCGCUCUACUGGGCAUAUACUGACACUGAGGGACGAAAGCUAGGGGAGCGAAU